GUAGGUCCCGAGCGUUGUCCGGAUUUAUUGGGCGUAAAGCGAGCGCAGGCGGUUAGAUAAGUCUGAAGUUAAAGGCUGUGGCUUAACCAUAGUACGCUUUGGAAACUGUUUAACUUGAGUGCAAGAGGGGAGAGUGGAAUUCCAUGUGUAGCGGUGAAAUGCGCAGAUAUAUGGAGGAACACCGGUGGCGAAAGCGGCUCUCUGGCUUGUAACUGACGCUGAGGCUCGAAAGCGUGGGGAGCAAACAGGAUUAGAUACCCUGGUAGUCCACGCCGUAAACGAUGAGUGCUAGGUGUUAGACCCUUUCCGGGGUUUAGUGCCGCAGCUAACGCAUUAAGCACUCCGCCUGGGGAUACGACCGCAAGGUUG
rnacentral:rRNA from 1 species